rnacentral:rRNA from 1 species
CGCCUGUUUACCAAAAACAUCACCUCUAGCAUUACAAGUAUUAGAGGCACUGCCUGCCCAGUGACUAAAGUUUAACGGCCGCGGUAUCCUGACCGUGCAAAGGUAGCAUAAUCACUUGUUCCUUAAUUAGGGACUAGCAUGAACGGCUAAACGAGGGUCCAACUGUCUCUUAUCUUUAAUCAGUGAAAUUGACCUUUCAGUGAAGAGGCUGAAAUAUAAUAAUAAGACGAGAAGACCCUAUGGAGCUUAAAUUAUAUAACUUAUCUAUUUAAUUUAUUAAACCUAAUGGCCCAAAAACUAUAGUAUAAGUUUGAAAUUUCGGUUGGGGUGACCUCGGAGAAUAAAAAAUCCUCCGAAUGAUUAUAACCUAGACUUACAAGUCAAAGUAAAAUCAACAUAUCUUAUUGACCCAGAUAUAUUUUGAUCAACGGACCAAGUUACCCUAGGGAUAACAGCGCAAUCCUAUUUAAGAGUUCAUAUCGACAAUUAGGGUUUACGACCUCGAUGUUGGAUCAGGACAUCCCAAUGGUGUAGAAGCUAUUAAUGGUUCGUUUGUUCAACGAUUAAAGUCCUACGUGAUCUGAGUUCAGACCGGAG